UUUACAGGAAUCUGAUAAAUGACAUGGGUGAGGUAGAUGCUUGGCUUGCCCCACAGCUGCGCCAGUUGCUCUCUGCAGGCCAUAAUGAGAUGGCUGCUAUGAAGCCAGGGACUAGCAAGCAGAUCACCAACCACAAGAUGUCUGAAGAGGCUGGGGCUGAACCAUCAUAUGACUUGGAUGAAGAGGCUGCCCUGCACGUCUACAGAGGAAUGGAGAGGCUGAAACUGAAUAGGACCUACAGGCUGAGAUGAAGAGUUGGAUCCAGAUACUAAGAGAUGCAUUACCCACCAGGUACAGUGUCUCACCCUCUUGAGUAUUGUCCUUUAAACGUUUAGAAAUUAGUCACACACACAAGUAUACAGCAGUAAUUAUUUAUUGUACAGCUUAGCCUUCAUGUACAAUAUUUACUUGUUACCAUGUCUCUUGUUUCCAUAAUCAUUGUACAAAGCACAAUAUUAAAACAUUUUCACCCAGUACUUCAAAUCAUGACCUUCAUCAGAUUAUUCUAGUACUUUAUGUUAGAGUAUUCCCUUCCCGGUUUAAACCUUUUGUCUAAUUUGUACAUGCUGCUCGACCCUUUCCGCUAAUGGCCAAGAACCAAGGGUUUACACCGAAGAGAAAGAAGACUGACCGCAAUCCCAGUCAGAGAAUUUCAGACGAGCCAAGAUCCGCAUAAAGGGACCAGUUUGUAGACUACAUUUGAAACUUGAAGUUGCAGUGUAUAAAAUGUAUACAAAUCCAAUGUAUGAGAAGUGUUUUGCAGGCAUUACUUACACCUCCUGCAGAAACAUCUGAGAGGUAUACUACAAAGCAGAACCAAUGAGUUAGCCAGCUUACUUUGAUUAAAAACCAGAAAUAACUGUUGAUUUUCUGAAUAAUUUAGAAAAAUAAACUUAGGUUGAGUUAAUUAGACCAUAGCCCAUUUCAAGCUUAGUUAUUUAUUAGUUCAGAAUAUUGAGGCAAGUUAUCUGGCUAACUCCUUGAUCCUGCUUUGUAGUGUGUAUGCUGAUAUGAUAUACAGUAUUUGAUAGCAAAAUUGACAACUUGUAUAAUUUAACUAGUGUCAAUUAUGGAUAAAAUUGAAUUCCAAGUAUAUUUUUGAAAAAAAACCUACAUUAAAAUCUUGAAUGUAUUCCAGGUUCGUGAAGUCUGUUGUGAGGAGACAAGAUACAGUGGAGAGCUGUGCUGGACUUAGUGUCAAACUCAAAUAACCAACCAAACCGUUUCCACACAUUUGCAAGUAAAUUACACAAUCACUGAUAGCUAGCUGUAUGGGGUGUCAUGCCUUCAAGGAAGACUGUUGCCAGUUUCCUCUGGAGUAGAUUUGUGAUUUGUCCAGUACAUAAAAUACCAACAUACAGUUCAGGUUUAAUGUUCAGAGUCUGUUACUUUACUGAUGUACUGUCUGUGAUAUUACUCUGACAAACUGCUAUGAGGUUAAGUAAUCUGCCUUGUGACAUAAGAUGGUAUGAUACUUAAAGUUAAGGUGAUCAAGGAUUGUUUUUCUGUGAUUAUGUAAAUAUUUGAUUUUAAAGGCAGAGUGUGUACUGAAACCUACAUAUGCAUGCACAUGAAUGUCUGAUCUAGGACGGUGAAAGCCCUGCAAGAUAAAAUAAAGAUCCAAACUAGACAAGCAUGAAUUAAGAUUUCAGAAGAAAGUCGAGCUCGUGCCCUGCCCCGGGGACUUGUACGUCACGUUAGUGUGUUUCAUCGGACCACCAAAGCCAGCCCUCCCAGUAAGCAGCACAGUUUACUGGAGUGUAUUCAUUAGUCAGAUUCUGUGAGAAGCGAUCUUACUCUAGGAAGCAAACAUAUUAAACGGGGAGGGACGUCCAUGAAUUUGUCCAGUUGUAACUUGUUUUUGUUGCAUAACGUUUUCUGUUUGGAGUGAAGUUUUCAUUGCAACUAAUGAAAACACCUCUGGGGUCUCA